rnacentral:tRNA from 1 species
AAUCCUAUAAUUUAUUAAAAAUAUUAGAUUGCAAAUUUAAACAUAUGUAUAACUACAUUAGGGUUU